rnacentral:rRNA from 1 species
UACGUAGGGGGCGAGCGUUAAUCGGAAUUACUGGGCGUAAAGCGUGCGCAGGCGGUGAUGUAAGACAGAUGUGAAAUCCCCGGGCUCAACCUGGGAACUGCAUUUGUGACUGCAUCGCUGGAGUGCGGCAGAGGGGGAUGGAAUUCCGCGUGUAGCAGUGAAAUGCGUAGAUAUGCGGAGGAACACCGAUGGCGAAGGCAAUCCCCUGGGCCUGCACUGACGCUCAUGCACGAAAGCGUGGGGAGCAAACAGG